CUGUUAUCUGUUAGUGUGGACUGAAAUGCGCUCGGCGCUGCCUCUGAGCCGCAAGCAGCUAAUGAUGCGUGGAGAUCAGCGAUAAACCAGCGGAUACACAGGUGGAGCUGUAACAAUUGUGUCUGUAAGAACGUCGCACAGCAUGCAAGGAAACUGAGAAGACACUCGUUCAACAUGACGUCCCCUCCGCCCUCAUCUCAGCCAUAGGACGCACAGCAUGCAAGGAAACUGAGAAGACACUCGUUCAACAUGACAUCCCCUCCGCCCUCAUCUCAGCCAUAGGAACACACACACACACACACACACACACGCAGAAGAACACACACCAUCACACUACAGCCCCAGGUGUGUCAGGACUGACUGAACUGUGUUUGAUAACAAAAUACUGAUGACCAAAAAAUCUAUUAUUACAGCUCAAACUGCAUCUCCUCCUCACGUGUUCGUGUUUGUGAGUUCAGGGUUUGUGAGGUGUGUGCUUUGAGGGAUCAUGUCUGUGGUUUUCACACCCGACGGGAUUGAGGAGGGCGAUGGCUCUCUGUCCACCGACGCUUCCGCAGGCAUCUGUGGCAAAAGCAGCCCGUCGGCGCCUGCUAAAGACACCAAUGCCGACAGCACAGAACCAGAUGACAACCUCUCCCAGGAAGCACAGCGACGCUGUCAGAAUCACGGCCACACUAGGAAACGAGCCAAGGUAAAGCAUGCGAGGACACACACACUUCUCUCCUAAACAUGACAGGCUUUAGCAGUCAGUCGAGUUUAACCUCGACGUUACAGACCCAUAACAUCUGUGUUUCUGGAUGUAGGUUCAGUCACA
rnacentral:lncRNA from 1 species